UACGUAGGGCGCAAGCGUUGUCCGGAAUUAUUGGGCGUAAAGAGCUUGUAGGCGGUCUGUCGCGUCUGCUGUGAAAGUCCAGGGCUCAACCCUGGGAUGCCGGUGGAUACUGUCGAGCUCGAGUCCGGAAGAGGCGAGUGGAAUUCCUGGUGUAGCGGUGAAAUGCGCAGAUAUCAGGAGGAACACCGGUGGCGAAGGCGGGUCUCUGGGCCGAUACUGACGCUGAGGAGCGAAAGCGUGGGGAGCGAACAGG
rnacentral:rRNA from 1 species